rnacentral:lncRNA from 1 species
GAGAGGGCCCCUUUCACCCCGGGAGGCAGCCGGCUACAGGAGGGGCGUCCCCGGCCCAGCGGAAGAACCGCCCCUACUGGGGCGGACCGGGAGCCGGAUCUUGGGACCCCGCUUUUCCCCUCCCCGCCGGCCCCUGGCACAUUAAGGGCGGGGCAGGCAGAGGGGAGGGGCCGCGCGGCCGGGGCGGCAGGAGCCGUGGGGGCGGGGCCCAGGCUUGAGAGCUCAGGGCUCUGGCCGCAUGGAUCGUGGUUCGCUGGCCGGCCUGCGGCGGCCUGCGGAGGAAGAGUGGGGCGGCCCCGGGGACGCGAAACGGGCCUGCAGGGCCAUCGUGGCCGGAUCCGGGGAGGAUGCCGGCCACUGGCCGUGCUGGACCACCGAGCGGAGCUCCCAAGCCAAGAGCUUCCUGACGAGGGAGAUGGUGCCGGCGGACGUCCCAGGCAGACAGAGCACCGCGAUUUCUGGCCACAACGGAAGGCGGCCCCCCCAGCCCUGCUCACGAUGCCUGGCCGGCCAGUCCGUAAGUGCCUUCUCCUCCUUGCUGGGGCGCCCAGAGAGCCGCUUCCGAGCAUUAGAUCCCUAAAGCAGGGUGAAGGAAGCCGCAGUGCUGUUUCCUAGCAAUGAGGAGCAUCGAUAAGAGGGCCACACAGAGGGAGGCAGGCUGGGGCCGGAGAGAGAACUGGCGAAGCAGCUCCGAGGAAAGGAGCCGGCCAGGCCGGAGAGACGUGAGGCCGGACUUCUCUUGGGUUGUGCUUGAAGAGGGGACUGGAGGAGGGUGUACACCACCUGGAGGCCCUCGUACACGCGGGCACACGCGGGCACACGCACGCUCCCCCCCAGACAUCCAUUCUCAGAGGAACCCCAACGGGGCUUCCCUUCUGUCUCACCAAGCUCUUCCCCGUCAUGCGUGCCACUGGCCGAGGAAGGAAAAAGACCUACGAGGAGGCCUUUGUUAGCUCCAGGCCAUGCAGGAACAUCCUUCUUUCAGGCCUCUCAACACUGGCCUUUCUAGGGCCCAAGGAGGCGCUUCCAAGACCCCCUCAGCAGCUCGGGGGCCCCCCAUCCCCCAGGAAAGUGCCCAGGCAG